rnacentral:rRNA from 1 species
UACGGGGGGGGGCAAGCGUUGUCCGGAAUUAUUGGGCGUAAAGAGCGCGCAGGCGGUCGGAUUAGUCGCGUGUGAAAGCCCCCGGCUCAACUGGGGAGGGUCACGCGAUACUGUUCGACUCGAAGGCAGGAGAGGGAAGUGGAAUUCCCGGUGUAGUGGUGAAAUGCGUAGAUAUCGGGAGGAACACCAGUGGCGAAGGCGACUUCCUGGCCUGUUCUUGACGCUGAGGCGCGAAAGCUAAGGGUAGCAAACGGG